rnacentral:misc_RNA from 1 species
UGCCAAUAUAUACUUUUCCAGCUGCUGUAAAUCCUCAAAACAGUAUUCCCUCGAUGGAUCAAUCACCCGACCAUUUCUAAGAAAUGCUAAAGUAUUAUCCACAAUAUUUGACACAGUGUCUUUACACCCAUAACAAAGACCAGACCUCAAAACAGCCUUUGUAGCAACAUCUUCAGUAUAACCACAAGCAACAAUCUUUUUAAUGGCACUCUUGAAGAUUGCAUCCAAAUUGCUUAACACAAGUUCUUCUAGCUGGGAUUCUGUAAGAUCACUCCAAUCAGCUUCAUGGGAUUCUUCUGAUUC